rnacentral:rRNA from 1 species
GACGAACGCUGGCGGCGUGCUUAACACAUGCAAGUCGAACGGAAAGGCCCCCACCUUGGUGGGGGUGCUCGAGUGGCGAACGGGUGAGUAACACGUGGGUGAUCUGCCCUGUACUUCGGGAUAAGCUUGGGAAACUGGGUCUAAUACCGGAUAGGACCAUGGUUUAGUGUCUCAUGGUGGAAAAAUUAUUGUUUUGGUGCAGGAUGAGCUCGCGGCCUAUCAGCUUGUUGGUGGGGUAAUGGCCUACCAAGGCGUCGACGGGUAGCCGGCCUGAGAGGGUGGACGGCCACAUUGGGACUGAGAUACGGCCCAGACUCCUACGGGAGGCAGCAGUGGGGAAGAUUGCACAAUGGGCGCAAGCCUGAUGCAGCGACGCCGCGUGGGGGAUGACGGCCUUCGGGUUGUAAACUCCUUUCGUUAGGGACGAAGCCACACCUUUUUGGGGUGUGGUGACGGUACCUUUGUUAAGAAGCACCGGCUAACUACGUG